CGCGCAGGCGGUCGAUCAAGUCGCGUGUGAAAGCCCCCGGCUCAACUGGGGAGGGUCACGCGAUACUGACCGACUCGAAGGCAGGAGAGGGUAGUGGAAUUCCCGGUGUAGUGGUGAAAUGCGUAGAUAUCGGGAGGAACACCAGUGGCGAAGGCGACUACCUGGCCUGUUCUUGACGCUGAGGCGCGAAAGCUAGGGAGCAAACG
rnacentral:rRNA from 1 species